rnacentral:rRNA from 1 species
CCUGACAAAGUGCGGAGGAAACUGGGUUGCUAGAGUGUCGGAGAGGAUAGGGGAAUUCCCGGUGUAGAGGUGAAAUUCGUAGAGAUCGGGAGGAACACCAGUGGCGAAGGCGCCUAUCUGGCUGACAACUGACGCUGAAACUCGAAAGCAUGGGGAGCAAACAGGAUUAGAUACCCUGGUAGUCCAUGCUGUAAACGAUGAGAACUAGAUGUGUGAGGUAUUGACCCCUUACGUGUCGAAGCUAACGCGAUAAGUUCUCCGCCUGGGGAGUACGGCCGCAAGGUUAAAACUCAAAGGAAUUGACGGGGGCCCGCACAAGCGGUGGAGCAUGUGGUUUAAUUCGACGCAACGCGCAGAACCUUACCUAGGCUUGACAUGUACGGAAGACGUUGGAAACAGCGUUGUGCCCG